AUGAGUUCAAAGGUCACCUUCUUCCAACGGGUGAAGUUCACUGUAGGUAAAGGGAUCACUACUAGAUUCUGGGAGGAUACAUGGCUAGGGGAGGUGCCUCUGGCUCUACAAUAUCCAUCACUUUAUAAUAUUGUGCAACGAAAGGAAGAUUAUGUCGCCAUAAUAUUAAAUUCGGUACCGCUUAAUAUCCAAAUUAGGAGAUCCCUAGUGGGGGAACGUUGA
rnacentral:rRNA from 1 species